AAAUCUAUGGUUCCAGAUUUCUUUCCUAGGGUUUCUAUCUCCAGUGUUGCCUCACUUUGAGUUUUCUUUAUUGUUUCUACUUCCCUUUUUAGGUCUAGUAUGGUUUUGUUCAUUUCCAUCACCUGUUUGUAUGUUUUUUCCUCUUUUUCUGUAAGGACUUCUACCUGUUUGAUUGUGUUUUCCUGUUUUUCUUUAAGGACUUCUAACUCUUUAGCAGUGUUCUCCUGUAUUUCUUUAAGUGAUUUAUUAAAGUCCUUCUUGAUGUCCUCUACCAUCAUCAUGAGAUAUGCUUUUAAAUCUAGGUCUAGGUUUUCGGGUGUGUUGGGGUGCCCUGGACUGGGCGAAGUGGGAGUGCUGGGUUCUGAUGAUGGUGAGUGGUCUUGGUUCCUGUUAGUAGGAUUCCUACGUUUACCUUUCGCCAUCUGGUAAUCUCUGGAGUUAGUAGUUAUAGUUGACUCUGUUUAGAGAUUGUUCUUCUGGUGAUUCUGUUACCGUCUCUCAGCAGACCUGGGAGACAGAUUCUCUCCUCUGAGUUUCAGUGCUCAGAGCACUCUCUGCUGGCAAGCUCUCUUACAGGGAAGGUGCGCAGAUAUCUUGUUUUUGGACCUCCUCCUGGUCGAAGAAGAAGGCCCAAAACAGGGCCUCUCUCAGAAGCUGUGUUGCUUUGGCAGUUCCCAGAAGCUGUCAGCUUCUGUGGUGCAGACUCUCACCUGUGCAGACUAAAAUCCUAAGAUCCAGGGAGUCCUGGAACCAAGAUGGCGACCGCUGCUGCUGAGGCUGAGGCCGUCUCCGAGCCAGGCAGACACCUGUCCUCUGGUCCGGACGGUGGCCGGCUGUCUGCGGCCCGCCAAGAGUACUGCCUCAGCGGCUCUGUGCUUCCGCCCGUCCCAGAAGCUGUCCAGUUCUCUCUAUAUUUACAUUUCAAAUGUUAUCCCCUUUCCUAGCUUCCCCUCCGAAAACCCCCUAUCUCCUCCCUCCUGCUCUGCAACCCACCCACUCCCAUUCCUGGUCCUGGCAUUCCCCUAUACUGGGUCAUAGAGCCUUCACAGGACCAAGGGCCUCUCCUCCCAUUGAUGAGCGACUAGGCCGUCCUCUGUUACAUAAAUAGCUAGAGCCACAAGUUCCACCAUGUGUUUUCUUUGAUUGGUGGUAUAGUUCCAACGAGCUCUGGGGGUACUGGUUAGUUCAUAUUGAUGUUCCUCCUAUGGGGCUUCUGUCCCCUUCAACUCCCUGGGUAUUUCUCUGGCUCCUUCACUGGGGACCUUGUGCUCCAUCCAAUGGAUGACUGUGAGCAUUGCCAGGCACUGGCAGAGCCUUGCAGGAGACAGCUAUAUCAGGCUCCUGUCAGCAGUGUCUUGGCAUCUGCCUAAUGAUUGGGUUUGGUAAGCCAGUGAUUCUUAUAUGAGGUUUCAAGUCUGAAUCUCCCUUAGCUACUUGAGUAUAUGUUGUUACUAAUCUAAGAUCGCUCUGAAGAUGUCUGCUUUCCUUUAACAUUUUUUAAUAUUCCUUUAACAUCAUUUAACAGUUUUUGUGGUUAAAUCUAGUGGCCGAACGCAUGUAUGUGUGAACAAGGAUCAUGGAGAGCUGCACUUAACAUGUCUCUAGGCCCUCGCUGCUUGUCUGCAUCCUUCUUACUGCACCAAAUCAUUUACUUUCUUUUUAAAGAUUUAUUCACUCUUGUUUUUAUUAUAUCUGUACGAAUGCUUUGCCUUCAUAUUUGCAUGUUUACUGUGCAGAUGCCUGGUGCCUGCAGAGGGCAGCAGAGGGCCGCAGAUGCUCUGGAACAAGAGUUCUAGGAGUUAAGUCUGGUUUUUAGACAUCCUGUGGUUUCUGGGAACUAAAUCUGCGUCUCCUGCAAAAGCUGAAAUGGUUCUUAAUUGCUGAGUGAACUCUCUAGCCUUCAAUACAAUGUACUUUUAAAUAAAAUCACUUUGUUUUGGAGGAUGCUAAUGAGAAGAACUAUUUAUUAUGUGUAGGAUGGUAAUAACUAUUUCUUUUAUAUUUUAAAUAAAGCCUAAAAGUUCAGAACACUUUGUGGUCCUCCUUUAUGCUGUUCCUUUACAGUCGGGGGCUUGUGAUUUAUGUAAAAUCUACUGCUGUGAACAUGAGAUAUAACGAGUUCUCUUUACCAGAUCUCCGGCUGGAGGACUGCCCAGUGUGCGUGCUUCUUACUGGGGUUGUGAGUCCAUUGGAGUUCCUUCAGCCUUCUUUGCACUGACGGUGCACUUCACUAUAGGUAAGUAAGCAGAACAAUACAUUUGCUAAUGUAUCGAAUCAAGAAAGCAUUUCAAUUCUGUUAGCUUGAGCUGCAGUACAAAAUAAACAAAAGACGAAAACAGCAGAUGCAGAGCCCUAACUUUGUUAUUCAUUGGAGAAGUGGACGCUUCUUGGGUAAAGGUGAUUCCGUCUUUAACACACUUUGCCAGAGGUGAUCUGUGUGAGAGCAUAAAGCACGCCUACAGUUCACAGCUCUGUGGCAGGUUAGAAGACGAGGAUAGAAAAAUUCCUCUCCAGAGGACAAGGAGAGGAAUCAAGGGAAAUCGCAAUGUAACCAGGCUACCCACUUGCAGAGAUCCAGAAGGGGCAGGGAUCCCUCUUGCUUUCAUUUUCUUGACUUGUCCGGCAGAGUGUCUCUGUUCAAUUGAUGAUUAAAUUGGGUCCAGACCCAUUCCAGUGAAACAAAGGAAAUUGUCGGUUUGCUGAAGAGGCUGCCUGGGGGGAAAAUGGUAGCAACACAUCUGAUGGAGGAUUAGUGUGUAGGAUAAACAAGGAACUAGAAACAAAAGAAAAC
rnacentral:lncRNA from 1 species